CUAAGAGCAGACGGCGGAUGCCUUGGCAUCGGUAGGCGAAGAAGGACGCGGAAAGCUGCGAUAAGCUUCGGGGAGCCGCUAACAGGCAUUGAUCCGGAGAUUUCCGAAUGGGGAAACCCAGCCGGGGUAAUACCCGGUUAUCAUACACUGAAUACAUAGGUGUAUGAGGCGAACGCAGGGAAUUGAAACAUCUAAGUACCUGCAGGAAAAGAAAAUAAAAAUGAUUCCGUCAGUAGCGGCGAGCGAACGCGGACCAGCCCAAACCAUAUACUUUUCGGAGUAUAUGGGGUUGUGGGGCCCCGACGUGGGAUUGUUGAGGGAUAGUAGAACGGCAUGGAAAGGCCGGCCAGAGACGGUGAUAGCCCGGUACACGAAAUUCUGAAGCACCCUAGGGGUACCCCGAGUACCACGGGACACGUGAAACCCUGUGGGAAUCCGGGAGGACCAUCUCCCAAGGCUAAAUACUAACCGAUGACCGAUAGUGAACCAGUACCGUGAGGGAAAGGUGAAAAGUACGGGGGGACCCGAGUGAAAUAGUACCUGAAACCGUCUGCUUACAAGCAGUGGGAGCACUAUGUUGCUUGCAACAGUGUGACCGCGUGCCUUUUGCAUAAUGAGUCAACGACUUACCCUGUGUAGCGAGGUUAAGCCGCGAGGUGUAGCCGUAGCGAAAGCGAGUCUUAAUAGGGCGUUUAGUUACAUGGGGUAGACCCGAAGCCGGGUGAUCUAUCCAUGGCCAGGGUGAAGCGAAGGUAAUACUUCGUGGAGGCCCGAACCACUAUAGGUUGAAAACUGUUUGGAUGAGCUGUGGAUAGGAGUGAAAGGCUAAUCAAACUCGGUGAUAGCUGGUUUUCUCCGAAAUAUAUUUAGGUAUAGCCUCGUAUGUUUACUGACGGAGGUAGAGCACUGAUUGGACUAGGGGUCUCACCAGAUUACCAAACCCAUUCAAACUCCGAAUGCCGUCAAGUUAGAGUACGGGAGUCAGACUGCGGGAGAUAAGUUCCGUGGUCGAGAGGGAAAGAACCCAGACCGCCAGCUAAGGUCCCUAAAUUCAUGCUAAGUGGAAAAGGAGGUGGAACUGCCCAGACAACCAGGAGGUUGGCUUAGAAGCAGCAACCCUUUAAAGAAAGCGUAACAGCUCACUGGUCGAGUGGGGCUGCGCCGAAAAUUCAACGGGGCUUAAGCAUGGUACCGAAGCUGCGGAUCAUAAAAAUCUUCGGAUUUUUAUGAUGGUAGGAGAACAUUGUGGCCGCCUGAGAAGGUACACCGUAAGGAGUGCUGGAGGUUCCACAAGAGCUUAUGUUGACACGAGUAGCGAAAAACAAGGUGAGAAACCUUGUCGCCGAAAGCCUAAGGUUUCCUGUAGUAAAGUUAAUCUGCUCAGGGUUAGUCGGCCCCUAAGUCGAGGCUGAAAAGCGUAGACGAUGGGAAACAGGUUAAUAUUCCUGUACCACCCUGCUGGUGUUACGGAUACGGGGGGACGGAGAAGGGUAGAUCAUCCGGGUGUUGGAUGUCCCGGUUCAAGCGUGUAGGCGGAGGACUUUGGCAAAUCCGGGUCCUCAUUCAACGCUGAGGCGUGAUGACGAUUCCUUUUUGGAUAUAAAGUGAUUAAUCCCAUGCUUCCAGGAAAAGCCUCGUAUUCAUUCAGCAAGGUGACCGUACCGCAAACCGACACAGGUAGGCAGGAAGAGUAUUCCAAGGCGCUUGAGAGAACUCUGGUUAAGGAACUCGGCAAAAUAGCACCGUAACUUCGGGAGAAGGUGUGCCCCCAUUACGUGAUACGAUUCGCACGUGGAGCGGAAGGGGGUUGCAGUGAAAUGGGGGGAGCGACUGUUUACUAAAAACACAGGACUCUGCUAAGUCGAAAGACGAUGUAUAGGGUCUGACGCCUGCCCGGUGCCGGAAGGUUAAGGGGACUUGUUAGCGCAAGCAAAGCAAUGAACCGAAGCCCCGGUAAACGGCGGCCGUAACUAUAACGGUCCUAAGGUAGCGAAAUUCCUUGUCGGGUAAGUUCCGACCUGCACGAAUGGCGUAACGAUUUCCCCACUGUCUCAACCAGAGACUCAGCGAAACUGUAGUACCGGUGAAGAUGCCGGUUUCCCGCAACAAGACAGAAAGACCCCGUGCACCUUUACUAUAGCUUGGCAUUGUAGCUUGGGCUAUCAUGUGUAGGAUAGGUGGGAGACUUUGAAGCGGCCACGCCAGUGGUCGUGGAGUCAAUCUUGAAAUACCACCCUUGCUAUCUUAGGCUACUAACCCAGACCCGUUAUCCGGGUCGGGAACAGUGUCUGGUGGGUAGUUUGGCUGGGGCGGUCGCCUCCUAAAGUGUAACGGAGGCGCGCGAAGGUUCCCUCAGGUUGAUUGGAAACCAACCGAAGAGUGUAAAGGCAUAAGGGAGCUUGACUGCGAGAGAGACAUCUCGAGCAGGUACGAAAGUAGGUCUUAGUGAUCCGGCGGUCCCGAAUGGAAGGGCCGUCGCUCAACGGAUAAAAGGUACGCCGGGGAUAACAGGCUUAUCUCCCCCAAGAGUCCAUAUCGACGGGGAGGUUUGGCACCUCGAUGUCGGCUCAUCGCAUCCUGGGGCUGGAGCAGGUCCCAAGGGUUUGGCUGUUCGCCAAUUAAAGCGGUACGUGAGCUGGGUUUAAAACGUCGUGAGACAGUUUGGUCCUUAUCUGUUGCGGGCGUAGGAUAUUUGAGGAGAGCUGUUCCUAGUACGAGAGGACCGGAAUGGACGAACCGAUGGUGUUCCAGUUGUCACGCCAGUGGCAUCGCUGGGUAGCUAAGUUCGGAAGGGAUAACCGCUGAAAGCAUCUAAGCGGGAAGCCCACUCCAAGAUUAGAUAUCCCGUGGGGUAAUACCCACCUCAAGGCUCGUUGAAGACUACAACGUUGAUAGGCCAGGUGUGGAAGUGUAGUAAUACAUGGAGCUUACUGGUACUAAUUAGCCGUGAGGCUUAACC
rnacentral:rRNA from 1 species